rnacentral:rRNA from 1 species
GCCUGCCCAAUGGUUGUAUCUAAAAGCGGUUGAUAAAAGUCGACCGCGUAAGGACAAUUGAAUGGCCGCGGUAACACUGACCGUGAUAAUGUAGCGUAAUCAAUAGCCAAUUAAUUGUUGGCCAGUAUGAAUGGCGCCACGAAGGCCCCACUGUCUUAAGGAAAUUCCCAGUGAAAUUGAAUUCGUAGUGAAGAUGCUACGUCCAAUUUGUUAGACGAAAAGACCCCGUUGAGCUUUACUGGGGCACUUACACGGCCCCGGCCUUCAAGACUGGGUUGAUAAGCCAAGGCUUACCAUACCUAGGGACCGGCCGAAUUUAAAUGGGCGGCUUAGACUAUGUGGCAGCCCCCCCCGUCGGGGCAGAUGAAACCCCACUCCCCCAUGUCAAAGGGGCUAACCCCCCCCCCCUUGGGGGGGGACAAUGUAAGUAGGACAGUUUGGUUGGGGCGACCGCCUUUUAGAGAGUAACGAAGGUGCGCUUAAGGKGCGUAAUUAAUGACUGAAGCCUGACUGCGAGGGGGACACCCCGAGCAGACACCCCCAAGCCCGCCCGAGAAGGCUUUGCCUUCUGGGCGGCGGUGGGGUGGGCCAUAGUGACCCGUUAAUUUAGAGUGGAAUAG